GCGUUGCUCCUAAGACCUGCUCGCUUGAUUUAACAGCCCUGCAUCACCAGCUCGCCCAUAGGCACGUGCCGCCUCUAUCUGCCACCCCAGCAGAGCUUUCCCAAACUAUGUGGUUCUCUAAAAGUGAACAGGAUGGAUGGUGGGUUGAAGUAGAAACAUACAAGAGAACAGAAGCCUUCAUUUUUAGACAGUCUCUGUAGGAUAGCAGGUCAGUGCCACAUUAGAUGGAUGUGAGUUUUGCAUGUCUUUGUAGGAAAGACAGAAAAGACAGAGAAACAGUGAUAAACAGUAAGAACUUCUUUACAAUGAAAUUUAGCAAUUCAUAAACAGGAUGACAUGCAUAAUUUAAGUUUCAUUGCUGCUGUUUUGUUUUUUUUUUUUCCCCUUUAGCUUCAGAAAAAAAUGUAUUGCUUUUUGGUUGGCAUCCUGACUUAACUGAUGAAAUAUUAGCGGCCCCUGAGAGAAAAUCCAUACACUGAAGGUGACUGUGGGCUCAAUUUCCUACAGAGGAAGAGUGUUGGAUGAAGCAUGGGAGCAGUGCUAGACCCUCUGGAGUUAAGUGACAGACCUGAUGGACUUAAGGAGCUGGUGCCAGAAGUCCCGUCCAUGUGUAAAUACAGAAGAGGCACCAGAAGAGCCAAUGGCCCCUGCUCUUCCUUUCCU
rnacentral:lncRNA from 1 species